rnacentral:lncRNA from 1 species
UGAACACUGCGGGAGCAGUUUUGCGGUUGACUAAGGGGGACGAGGCCUAUCAAUCGUUUCACAAGGAGCACGACGAGAAGAUGAUGGUGCUGCCUUGCCCCGCCGCCCUGCCAGUGUGUGCUGAUGACAGAGUAAGCGCCGACGGGCCCUUCUGCUUUGUCUAUACAACUUUCUUCAAGAAGGUCAAGCUCAGGUUCCCUCUCACCCGAUUCGAGAGGGAACUUCUGACCGAGCUCAACAUUGCUGCCGCCCAGCUUCACCCCAACAGCUGGGCGUU